rnacentral:misc_RNA from 1 species
UCCGGCUUAACGCCGGCGGUCUCCCUAGAGUGCCCAACUGAAUGGUGGCAACUAAGGAUAGGGGUUGCGCUCGUUAAGGGACUUAACCCGACAUCUCACGAUACGAGCUGACGACAGCCAUGCAGCACCUGAACCGGAAGUGUAUUGCUACAAGACCGUAUCUCUACGGUUGUCUUCCGUUAUCUAACCCAGGUAAGGUUCUUCGCGUUGCAUCGAAUUAAACCACAUGCUCCACCGCUUGUGCGGGCCCCCGUCAAUUCCUUUGAGUUUUAAUCUUGCGACCGUACUCCCCAGGCGGGGUACUUAAUGCGUUAGCUACGGCACGGAUCCCAAGGAAGGAAACCCACACCUAGUACCCACCGUUUACGGCGUGGACUA